GACGUAGGGCGCGAGCGUUGUCCGGAUUUAUUGGGCGUAAAGAGCUCGUAGGCGGCUUGUCGCGUCGACUGUGAAAUCCCGCGGCUCAACUGCGGGUCUGCAGUCGAUACGGGCAGGCUAGAGUUCGGUAGGGGAGACUGGAAUUCCUGGUGUAGCGGUGAAAUGCGCAGAUAUCAGGAGGAACACCGAUGGCGAAGGCAGGUCUCUGGGCCGAUACUGACGCUGAGGAGCGAAAGCGUGGGGAGCAAACAGG
rnacentral:rRNA from 1 species